rnacentral:sRNA from 1 species
UUUGUUUCUGCUCAAAAGACUUUAUUUAUGUAUGUGCACUUAAAUAAAAUCAAGUGUUUUCAUUCUAAUUGACAUAUUUCUAAUUGACCUAUUUUUACACACCACCAUAAUUAAAUUCCCAGCAGCUCUGAUUAGCGUAAGCUUCAUUGUGAGAAGUUUUACUUGUUUGGUUUGUAUGACUGAAUCAUUACAUUUCAAAUAAAAUACCCAUGUAUAUGUACAUGUAUGUGUUUGUAUUUGUUUACUUCCCUAUUUUGUCAUUAAGUUAGAAUAUUUUGGUUAAACAUUAUUUAUGCAUGUAGUUAUAAUAUCAAUUAAAAACAACUUUCAAUUUU